UAGUCGGGAUAGCUCAGCUGGUAGAGCAGAGGACUGAAAAUCCUCGUGUCC
rnacentral:tRNA from 1 species